CUUCAGGAGACAACUAGUCCAAGCCAGCUCAACGUGAUCUUUCGUGUUUGCCAGUCAAUUUCAUCUCUAAGCAAGGAAAAGACAUCGCAAAACUACCCUCACCUCGAAAGUAUUUUAUAUUUAGAAUGACAGCAAAUAAUCUGACGGAAAUCCGUUCGGAAAAUCAAUUCAAAUUCAACAUUCGGCCAUAAAUAAAACGAAUUUAAGUCCGCCCCCGCAAUCCAGUUUGAGUAAUGAAAUAAUUUUAAGUAAGCACCACCGACUGACGACAAACCGCUUUAAAGAAAAACAAAAAAAGCCCUUCGGAAUAACCGCCUUCAAGCAAACUGGUUUCAGGCAAACGACUAACUCCGGUUGAGUUAGGUUGAGGGAAAUUUAUCGUUCGAGGUAUCUGCAGCUAAGGUCGAACCGAAUCAGUAAUAGUCCUCUGACGAACUUCACAACCCAAACAGAGAAGGCGCUCCACCGACAACGCCUAAAGUUCUAUGCAUACGAUCCGAUAACUAACGUGUCCAGCACCGCACAUCACAGGAGUUCCAAUUCCACACGGAGCGUGUUCAGCACGGCUUUGGAGAAGCCAAGAACAUUUGUCUUCCGGCUUGAAUUUUAUAAUGGAGGGAAAUUAUUGCGCAUAUACGCCAUUUGGCGCAUCCCAGUGGGGUUUCCCAAGUAUUUCAUUGUUGCAUCAAUGAUUUAAUCAAUACAAACUAAUGAAAAGUGAAGGCGGUAAAAUUUGUAUCGACAACUGCAACUACCCUUCUUUAUGCAUGACAUUGUAAUCA